rnacentral:lncRNA from 1 species
CCAAGGGGAUUAUCGGCACAAGUGCCAGAGAGUUUAAAGAAUCAUCAACUGAGAAGGAGCCAAAAAGAUCCAUUUCCACAUUAUUAGCAAGAGCUGCAGCAGAUAGACAGUUGAAGACAUCGGUAAAAUAAAAAUCUUUAUAUUUUAGUGUCAAUUGAUUACAUAAAUAAAAUAAUACCUGAGGUUGGGGCUUUGGAGCUACGAGGAUCAAAUUCAUCGAAAUCAACAUCUUUGAUUUUAUUAGGAAGACUUGAAGUGGCAACGGCAGGGAUGGGAUCUGUAGAUUCAUAUAAUACCGUGGGGGGAGUACGAGGAGAUGAAACUGCUUUGGUUGAAGAAUCCAUAUUUACAGGUGAUGUUUUUCCAUC